AGGGCUGUGGCUCAGUGGUAGAGCGCUUGCCUAGCAUGCGUGAGGCACUGGGUUCAAUCCCCCGCACCACAU
rnacentral:tRNA from 1 species